rnacentral:lncRNA from 1 species
UUUUAGCCCCACUUGGAGACCUCUGAGGAGGGGAGAGGUGCUGGCGUUGAAUUAAGCAUUAAGGCCAAUGAUAUAAUCAGUCAUGCCUACACAAUGAAGCCUCCAUAAAAAUCCCUCAACUAUGGGGUUCAGAGAGCUUCCAGAUCAGGAAACUGAAGCUUAGAGAAUGUAAACAACCAUCUAUGAACACAGAUCUUCCUGGCUGUGGUGUCCUUGCUACCGGACAAUAUCUUUCAAUGUAAAUUUUUUCCAGUUUUUUUCUUAAGAAGUAUCGGAACAUAGAGCCCAGCAGUAUUAAUGAAACUUUAUUGUGCUUACUCUAUGCCAGGCACAAGCAUCACCUCAAUCUUCCCAAUAAUUCUCUGAGAUAUUUGACUGAUGACUGAGUACCCAGAAGAGAGCCUUCGUCAGGUCAAGACUUCAGGACCUGAUGAAGCUGAGAUUGCAAGACACUGCACAAUGGGACCUUUCUAGACUGCACAGACCGCUCAGGUCAGAGAACAUCACUCUCCACGAUAGUUUUCUGCAUUUGCUUUAAUACAAAAUGAACUCUUCUUCGCAUAUGAACUCUGAGAAGAACAUUGACUGACGUCAAACUAUUCAGUAUUUCCCAAAACAUGCAUUUUAACAACAGGGUAUGUUUAGAAGACAGAAUUCAGCUUUAAUUGGUUACUUACAAUUCUGAUGGUUUUUAUUUGCCAUGUCUCCUUUUUCCUUUCAUCCUUUAAAAGGAACCAAUCCUCUUGACCUGAUGAAGCUCAGAAUAAUGAGUACAUUUUCAAAAGCAUGCUGUUUACCGAAGCAAAGAGCAAUUUUAUAAAAUCCUACAAAAUUUCAAUGUAAAACCACCAUGAGAAACCAGAAGAAACCAAAUUUUGAGAGAACCACCCCAAAAUAAAUAAAUAAAUUUUGAAGGCUACUAGUUACAAGGUGUCAUGUUCAGUAUUUUGUAAAUGUGUCCUUAUUUAAUUCUUUCCCAAAAUACCUUGGGUAAAUUGUAAGGAGAAGGCUCAGUAAGAUUAAUUUGUUCUUGAUCAAAUAUGCUAAGAUGCUGGUUUAGGAUUUGAACCAAUAUCUAUCUGAAUCUAAAAUAUAUACUCUUUCCAUAAUAUUUUGUUACCCACAGAGUAUGCUAUUGUUAAACUCUAGGGCCACCUUGAAUUUGUGACGAAAAAUAGAUUGGAGUUUUAUUUUUAAGGAGAGGGUUAAAAAUAUGUGGACUUUUUUUUUCUCUUUCAGAAAUUGAAUCAUGCACUA